rnacentral:lncRNA from 1 species
ACUCGAGCCGCGGCGGUUGCGGCGCCGACCCCCCGCCCGCCGUCGCCUCGUCGCCGCCCGCGCCGGGUCCGCGCAGCACGAAGAAGCGCUUGUGGCCAUGCUUCUGCUUGCGCAGGCCAGUUUGAGUUGGACUGUCUGCCACCUGAGCAAGAGAAAUCCCACCUGCCAAGCCUCUCGGCAGACGGUGGUGCAGCCUCCACAGCCUGGUCUUCAGAUUGUAACUCCGGCCCCUGCUCUGAGCUGGACCCCUCUAGAUCAAGUUUGCAAAUCCUGCGAGAGCCCAGGUGGAGCUUCUGACACGGUGCACAGAAGCAGCCUGGCAUAGCGUGUGAGGAGUCCCCCCCCCACCCAAGCCUCCCAAAGACGCCGUCUGCUGUCACUGAGGGCCGGGGCCACAGCCUCUGCAUCUCCCGAGCUCCAAAAGUUCCUACGGUUCAACGUUCAUUAUGCUCAACUGACAAUCUGCUGCUAAGCACAGGACUGAGGCUGCAUAGCCAGGGACUGUUCUGGAGGGAUUU